rnacentral:rRNA from 1 species
GACGAACGCUGGCGGCAUGCUUAACACAUGCAAGUCGAACGGAAAGGCCCUGCUUUUGUGGGGUGCUCGAGUGGCGAACGGGUGAGUAACCCGUGAGUAACCUGCCCUUGACUUUGGGAUAACUUCAGGAAACUGGGGCUAAUACCGGAUAGGAGCUCCUGCUGCAUGGUGGGGGUUGGAAAGUUUCGGCGGUUGGGGAUGGAAUCGCGGCUUAUCAGCUUGUUGGUUGGGUAGUGGCUUACCAAGGCUUUGCCGGGUAGCCGGCCUGAGAGGGUGACCGGCCACAUUGGGACUGAGAUACGGCCCAGCCUCCUACGGGAGGGAGCAGUGGGGAAUAUUGCACAAUGGGCUGAAGCCUGAUGCAGCAACGCCGCGUGCGGUAUGACGGCCUUCGGGUUGUAUACCGCUUUCGCCUGUGACGAAGCGUGAGUGACGGUAAUGGGUAAAGAAGCACCGGCUAACUACGUG